rnacentral:miRNA from 1 species
UGUCAACUGGGUCUCUCCUAGA